rnacentral:rRNA from 1 species
GAUGAACGCUAGCGGCAGGCCUAACACAUGCAAGUCGAGGGGUAACUAGAGUGAUAGCAAUAUUACUUUGGCUAGACCGGCGCACGGGUGCGUAACACGUAUGCAACCUACCUUAUACUGGGGAAUAACUUCGAGAAAUCGGCGCUAAAACCCCAUAACAUUGCGAAGAGGCAUCUCUUUGCAAUUAAAGCUCCGGCGGUAUAAGAUGGGCAUGCGUCCAAUUAGCUAGUUGGUGAGGUAACGGCUCACCAAGGCUACGAUUGGUAGGGGUUCUGGGAGGAUGAUCCCCCCCACUGGUACGGAGACAAGGACCAGACUCCUACUGGAGGCAGCAGUGAGGAAUAUUGCGCAAUGGACGAAAGUCUGACGCAGCCAUGCCGCGUGCAGGAUGACGGCCCUAUGGGUUGUAAACUGCUUUUGUACGGGAAUAAACCCUUCUACGUGUAGGAGGCUGAAGGUACCGUAAGAAUAAGCACCGGCUAACUCCGUGCCAGCCGCCGCCGUAAUAC